GAGUUUGAUCAUGGCUCAGAUUGAACGCUGGCGGCAGGCCUAACACAUGCAAGUCGAGCGGUAGAGAGAAGCUUGCUUCUCUUGAGAGCGGCGGACGGGUGAGUAAUGCCUAGGAAUCUGCCUGGUAGUGGGGGAUAACGCUCGGAAACGGACGCUAAUACCGCAUACGUCCUACGGGAGAAAGCAGGGGACCUUCGGGCCUUGCGCUAUCAGAUGAGCCUAGGUCGGAUUAGCUAGUUGGUGAGGUAAUGGCUCGCCAAGGCGACGAUCCGUAACUGGUCUGAGAGGAUGAUCAGUCACACUGGAGCUGAGACACGGUCCAGACUCCUACGGGAGGCAGCAGUGGGGAAUAUUGGACAAUGGGCGAAAGCCUGAUCCAGCCAUGCCGCGUGUGUGAAGAAGGUCUUCGGAUUGUAAAGCACUUUAAGUUGGGAGGAAGGGCAGUAAAAUUAAUAACUUUGCUGUUUUGACGUUACCGACAGAAUAAGCACCGGCUAACUCUGUGCCAG
rnacentral:rRNA from 1 species